GCGCUGAUGCCCGGCGCGUAUGCGCGGGCGCACCUGCUCGUGCCGAGCGCGGCCCCGGCGUUCGAGCUGCCGGUCAGCGCGC
rnacentral:tRNA from 1 species